CACUUUGUACGCGCUUCAUACUGCGCGAUUCGCACAGCUCUAAACACGCAAUUCGACGCGCAAUUCAACGUACAAUCAGCUGCGGAAUCCAACGCGCGCUUUGGAGUUUGCACCGGGCCUUAUGUAUGGAGUUAUGUUGUGCCCCCGGCUUUAUAUCCUAUACUUUGCGUGCUCACCACUGCAUAUCUCUUCCUUACAGCAACAACCUGACCGCUUUAGAAUUCACGCGCUGAAUCUUCUUCUGCAACCGGCUUCGCACGUUAAGUAUACUCUUUGCAUCUUCCUCUCCUCCGCGUUGAACUUCUCGCAUUCAGCUUUGCGCAUCUACCAUUCCGCAUAAUAACGUGUUCCCGCUUCACUUCCACUCUCGACCAAGCGCAACUGUGCUGGGCCUUGUGCCUUUCCGGGUUUCGCUUUGUGCGCGCCUCCAACUUUGCGCAUUUCCAGUUUUGCGCACCGUGCGCAGAUUUAUUUAUGCUAUCCGACCUACCUAGGCAGGCUCGACUCCUCUUUGUGCGCAUCUCCAAAAUUGUGCACAUCCACGUUUGCGCGGUGCCGGACCUUGUGCGUUCAUUUCUGUUGCGGCCCCAACUUUGCAUAUCCAAUUCCUCCGCCCCGAAUCUUGCAUUUUGCAGCUGUUACCAGCCGCCGCCUUUCACUUUGCACAGACAGUAGUUAGCGCCGGGUCUUAUGUGUGAAGUUGUGUUGUGGCCCCGACUUUAUACGCUAUACUUUGCAUGUUCACCUCUGCAUAUCUCUUUCUUACAGCAGCAACCUGCCCGCUUUAAAAUUCACGCGUUGCAUCUUCUUCUGCAUCGCAUGUUAAAGCUACUCUUUGCAUCUCCCUUUCCUCCGCAUCGAACUUCCCGCGUCCGGCUUUGCGCAUGUGCCAUUCCGCAUGAUAACGUGCUCCCGCUUAAUGUCCACUCUCCACCGAUCGCAACUGUGCUGGGCCUUGUGCCUUUCCGGGUUUCGCUUUGUGCGCGGCUCCGACUUUGCGCAUCUUUAGUUUUGCGCGCCGUGCGCAGAUUUAUUUAUGCUAUCUGAUCUACCUAAGCAGGCUCAACUCCUCUUUGUGCGCAUCUUCAAAAUUGGGCACAUCCACGUUUGCGCGGUGCCGGGCCUUGUGCGUUUAUUUCUGUUGCGGCCUCUACUUUGCAUAUCCAACUCCUCCGCCUCUAAUCUUGCAAUUUGUACUUCUCAUUAUAACGUGUUCCCAAUAGAACGUACAGCAAAUAAAAUGUAUACCGAUUGCAGCUGUUACCAUCCGCCGCCUUGCAUUUUGUAAGCGCUUCAUACUGCGCGAUUCGCGCACCUCUAAGCACGCAAUUCGACACGCAAUUCAACGUACAAUUAGCUGCGAAAUUCAAC
rnacentral:lncRNA from 1 species